rnacentral:rRNA from 1 species
GACGAACGCUGGCGGCGUGCCUAAUACAUGCAAGUAGAACGCUGAAGGAGGGGCUUGCUUCUCCGGAUGAGUUGCGAACGGGUGAGUAACGCGUAGGUAACCUGCCUGGUAGCGGGGGAUAACUAUUGGAAACGAUAGCUAAUACCGCAUAAGAGUAGAUGUCGCAUGACAUUUGCUUAAAAGGUGCAACUGCACCACUACCAGAUGGACCUGCGUUGUAUUAGCUAGUUGGUGAGGUAACGGCUCACCAAGGCAACGAUACAUAGCCGACCUGAGAGGGUGAUCGGCCACACUGGGACUGAGACACGGCCCAGACUCCUACGGGAGGCAGCAGUAGGGAAUCUUCGGCAAUGGACGGAAGUCUGACCGAGCAACGCCGCGUGAGUGAAGAAGGGUUUCGGAUCGUAAAGCUCUGUUGUAAGAGAAGAACGAGUGUGAGAGUGGAAAGUUCACACUGUGACGGUAUCUUACCAGAAAGGGACGGCUAACUACGUG